rnacentral:misc_RNA from 1 species
GGCCUGCAAGUCACAAACUUGCACGCGCGCAGACCGAAAAAAAGAGAGGAAGAAACACGUAGUUCACGCACAGCUCUGCUCCGUCGAAGACUCCUCCCCACAGCAUCCGCGCGCGCCAGGGCAGCAAAACCCUAUGCGCCGCCUCAGACCAGCGUCCUCUUGACCUUCUCCUCGCUUGUGCCUUCCGACUCCACUGGUCGUUAUAUACGGGACAGCCGUGCAGGCAGCAGGGGCCGUUGCUUCGCCGCCACUGCUGCUGUUCUCUUUGUGCGCCGCAUCACACCACCACUGCGACUACUUUGGGCUCCAUCGGUGCGUGGCCAUUGGUGCGUCGGUGAUACCGCGGCCGCCGCAAUCGUGGGCGUCGUCGUCUUGCAUGGCUUGCUCCUGUGUUUAAGACCUCAAUCGUAUCUGACCGCCUUUGCGUGCGUGCCGUUUUACGAGCGAGGGGACUUUGUGCGUGCGCGUUGGUGGCUUUGCCGGCGCCCAUCCUCGCCCUUCCUCCCGCCGUGUGUGUGUGUGUGUGUGUGUGUGUGCAUAUGUAUGUGUGUGUGCUCGCUUCCUCUCCCUUCCCCCUCUCGCACACUCCUCACAUUACCAUCUCCCGUCACGCCGCAGGGCCGAGCCGCUGUCUGGUUGCCGUUUUCUCUGCUCACUGAUGUCGUUCGAAGGCGGCUGCGCAGAUGGCCGCGGAACGAAGUCGUUACCGACACCGCCGUCCGCGCCAGCGAAGCCAUGGACCAUGUCCGUCACAUCGCCGUGGUCGGCCGUCGCUGCGGUCAAGGUUGGGGCCUCCUCAAAGAUACUGCUGCUCGCGCAGAUGCUGCUCUGUGUGAUGGGCAUCAACCUGUGUUUUGGUUGGUGGUCUAUCAAGCAGGAGCGCGCCAUCACAAAACCCUACUUCAUAGCUGACAGUGCCUUUGCUGCCUCGAUGGCUGCUACUGCAGCGUCAACUCACGACGCGCGUCGUGCCGCGGCGGUGGCGGCAGCGAAGUCGAAUGCCCCGCCUGGCAAGCCGCACGCCGUCUACCUGUCCACGGUGUACGGCAUCAGUCUGACGCAAACGCUGGCAGGGGCCAUCGUGAGCGCAGUGCUCGUGGGAAUGAAUAGUCUCCUGCGCCGUUCGAUGCGGAGCUACCAGCAGCGAUCCGGCCGCCAGCGUGGCGCUAAGGCGAACGCAUCGAACGCACUGGAUCAGAAUCAGUGCACCAUGUUGAGUCGGCGAGACGUGCAGGAGAUGUUGGCCAUGGGCUUCUCCAACAUCUUCGGCACGUCGCUCGGCUACGCCGCCAUGCGCCGCAUCUCCUACCCCGUCGCGCUGACCGCAAAGAUGGGCAAGAUGCUUCCUGUCAUGUUUGUUGGCUUUGUGUGGUACCGCGCGCGUUACCCGGCCAAGAAAAUUGCGUCGUGCCUGCUCAUCACCGGCGGCGUCAUCGCCUUCUUUUUGCUGGAGCGUCGCAUCACCAGCUCCGCCAACGCAUCCUCUGCCGCCACCACCACCACCACCGGCGGCGGCGGCGCGGCAUCAUCCUCGUCAUCUCUCUUCGGCAUGGCGCUGCUCCUGCUCAAUCUGCUCAUGGACGGCUACACGAACUCGACCCAGGAUAUCCUCGUCAAGCGGCACCGGUGGAAUGGGGUGUCGCUUAUGAUGCGGACGAACCUUGUCUCGGUCUUGUGUGCCCUAUCGCUUCUCUUUGUACUGGAAUUGGGGGAACAGCCUUGGAGCUGGCUGGCGUCGUUCUCGCACCACACCGUGACUUCGGCGAUGCGCAGCCUCCCCAUGUCGAACGGCGCACUUGGUCGCGCACUCGGGGCUUGGCUGGAGCGCGCUAGCGAAGUCUCGGCCACGUCAGCCGUUCCGUUCCGCGACCUCUCCCGUUUUAUCGCCUUCCUCGCGCACUGCCCGGAGGCGCGCCACGACGUGUUCCUUAUGAGUCUCUUGAGCGCACUUGGGCAGCUGUUCAUCUUCCAUACAAUCACCGUCUUUGGAACGCUGGCGCUGACCGCGAUGACGCUGCUGCGCAAGAUCGGCAGUGUUAUCCUCUCCAUUGUGGUACACGGGCACACUGUGCACAGCGCGCAGUGGGCCUCGCUCGGCGCUGUCUUCAUCGGGGUCGUUCUCGAGGGCUACAUCAACAUUCAAGAAGCCUCGCUCAGGCAGGGGCAAGCGACCACGAAGCGUGCGGCACCGCAGAAGGCUGCAGCGACUGCGAGUCCGUCGUCGUCUAGCAGUGCUGUGCCCGUCAACGGCACGCCGGCCCCCGGAUACGCGAGUUUCAGUGCAAAGAAGAGCAACGCAUCUGAAGAUUCAGCAGCGACAGCGCUGGCGAAAGCGCGGGUGCUCCGCGCCAUCGCCGCCACAACCGCUGCACCCGCCUCGUCGCCACCAAAAGCAAAGAAGACGCAGUAGAGGCAACCGAGACGCACGAGGAAAGAGCGGAGCCGGAGAGUUCAACGGUAGCCACUGGCGAGGGGGAGGUGAUCCAGCGUAGGCGGCGCGACUACUCUGGCUUUGCGCCUUGCAAGACUUGUCUUCCGCAUCUCCGUGAGACAGGACAUGCGCCGCGCCGCGGUAGAGCUUGCAUGGGCUGUAGUGCGCCGUCUUUUCCGCCCCUCCGUCCUCCUCCCCCAUGCAUGUGUAUCCUGGUGGAAAGGCUUCAUGAACCGUAGUUUCGCUGUCGUCUCACAGCGUGCAUCAUCGACAUCCCGCGCAGGCCCCCCCCUCCCGCCUCAAAGCGGCGCGGGUGUUGUGGAGGCAGCGUGGGUGCCAGCGAAGAGGAUGAGGAGGAGGCUACUGCGUCUGCUGUGCUUGGCCCUCCCUCAUACAAUACCUACCGCACAGCUUCCGCGUGUUUAGGUCCGUCUCUUAUUCUUUUCGCUCUCUCUCACACACGCAGUGGAAUGGUCUGUGGGCUGCGAUGUCGCGUCCCCUCCGCCACCCUCCCCCCGCACCUUCAUCGCAUCGCGUUACAUUGCUCCUCUUUUCGUGUCACUGCUCUUGGCGGUGAAGGCGUUGCGGUAAGGGGAUCUCCCCUCUCUUCCCUUUAGUUUAUAUAUAUGUAUACUCGUGUGCGUGCGUGUGUGUGUGUGUGUGUGUGGCAUGGGCGUGUGUCCGCCUACGUGCUUGCGCUGUAUUCGUCGGUGCAACAUCAUCAUCGUCGAUUGCGAUCAGAUUGUGGAGAGUUGGGGUGUGUGGAGGGGGGGGGGUAAGACACACGAAGAGGCCGAAAGCAGCGCCUUCUGUUAAUGUGCGUGCCUGCGAGUGAGACUCUGAUGAAAGUGUUGCCGAGUCGGCCGGUGGAAAACGGAGAUAGGACAGGGGCUUGGGAAAGUUGAAGGGAAAGGGAGUGGCGGGUGCACACCGAGGACGACUGCGUGCCUCCGGCUCUUCCCCCUCCCUACCUAGCAGCACCGUUACUGUACACAAAACUCACGCACGCCUCCCUCUCUCCCUUCAUCUCACCUCUCUCUCACACGCUUCCAUUUCUUAAUCCAGCCCCUGUCAGUCUUGUGCGCGCAUGUGUGUGUGUGUGUAAUGCUGUUCACAUAGCGACGGCUGAGCCUGGACUGUGUGCACGCACGGGAGAAACCCCUCUUGACGGCUCAUACAGCCCCCGAACAGUCUCUCUCUCCUCGUCGCGCUCGAUUCUUGCACAGACACGUCAGGCCGUUUUUCUCGUCGCGCCCCUUCUCCUCCACCCUCCUUGGCCGGUGCGGAGUUGAUGCCACGGGAUGGAGGGAGGAGAGGAAGGGGUCACUCUGGUGAGGGUAACCGGUUCUCAGAGGAAGUCGAGAGAGAGCAGAGAGGCGAGGAAGGAGCCUAGGGGUAUGCGAAACAGAGAGGGAGCUCACGCACGUGCGAUCAGCAGGCGCAUGCGCGAUGCGCGACAUGCCUGUGUCUAUGGUGUGUCAUUCCGUC